rnacentral:rRNA from 1 species
UACGUAGGGCGCAAGCGUUGUCCGGAAUUAUUGGGCGUAAAGAGCUCGUAGGUGGCGUGUCGCGUCUGCCGUGAAAGCCCAUGGCUUAACUGUGGGUCUGCGGUGGAUACGGGCAGGCUGGAGGCUGGUAGGGGCAAGCGGAAUUCCUGGUGUAGCGGUGAAAUGCGCAGAUAUCAGGAGGAACACCGGUGGCGAAGGCGGCUUGCUGGGCCAGUUCUGACGCUGAGGCGCGAAAGCGUGGGGAGCGAACAGG